GAUGAAGAACGUAGUGAAAUGCGAUAAGUAGUGUGAAUUGCAGAAUUCAGUGAAUCAUCGAAUCUUUGAACGCACAUUGCGCCCCAUGGUAUUCCGUGGGGCAUGCCUGUUCGAGCGUCAUUUACCCCCUCAAGCUCCGCUUGGUGUUGGGCGUCUGUCCCGCUUCGCGCGCGGACUCGCCCCAAAGGUAUUGGCAGCGGUCGUGCCAGCUUCUCGCGCAGCACAUUGCGCUUCUCGAGGCACCGGUGGGCCCGCGUCCAUCAAGCUCACCCCCCCAGUUUGACCUCGGAUCAGGUAGGGAUACCCGCUGAACUUAAGCAUAUCAAUAAGCGGAGGA
rnacentral:misc_RNA from 1 species